CACGUAGGGGGCAAGCGUUGUCCGGAAUCAUUGGGCGUAAAGAGCGUGUAGGCGGCCAGAUAAGUCCGCUGUGAAAACUCGAGGCUCAACUUCGAGCUGUCGGUGGAAACUAUUUGGCUAGAGUCCGGAAGAGGAGAGUGGAAUUCCUGGUGUAGCGGUGAAAUGCGCAGAUAUCAGGAAGAACACCCGUGGCGAAGGCGGCUCUCUGGUACGGAACUGACGCUGAGACGCGAAAGCGUGGGGAGCGAACAGG
rnacentral:rRNA from 1 species